AAGUCGUAACAAGGUUUCCGUAGGUGAACCUGCGGAAGGAUCAUUACCGAGCUAGGGUCCGACAACCCAAACCUCCAACCCUUGUCUACCUUCCCGUUGCUUUGGCGGGCCCGCGUUCCGCGGCCGGCCUUGCCGGAGUGCCCGUCAGAGGUCAUCACAACCCUUCAUCUGUGCCGUCUGAGAACAACACAAUAUCUAAAACUUUCAACAACGGAUCUCUUGGUUCUG
rnacentral:misc_RNA from 1 species